AUUGAACGCUGGCGGGAUGCUUUACACAUGCAAGUCGGACGAGUGGCGAACGGGUGAGUAAUGUAUCGGAACGUACCCAGUAGCGGGGGAUAACUGCUCGAAAGGACAGCUAAUACCGCAUACUAUUCGAGCGGCCGAUGUCUGAUUAGCUGGUUGGUGGGGUAAAGGCUCACCAAGGCGACGAUCCGUAGCGGGUCUGAGAGGACGAUCCGCCACACUGGGACUGAGACACGGCCCAGACUCCUACGGGAGGCAGCAGUGGGGAAUAUUGGACAAUGGGCGCAAGCCUGAUCCAGCCAUGCCGCGUGUCUGAAGAAGGCCUUCGGGUUGUAAAGGACUUUUGUCAGAGAAGCGGUACCUGAAGAAUAAGCACCGGCUAACUACGUGCCAGCAGCCGCGGUAAUUC
rnacentral:rRNA from 1 species